rnacentral:lncRNA from 10 species
UAGAUUAGUAAAAAUUUGAAGAGUUAGAUUUUAAAAUAGCAAAUCAAAACAGUUUUCAAUGACACCAUCAAAGAAACAAAGGGCAAGAGUAAUUUUAAAGCAAUCAUGAUCCUAAAACUCUUAGCCAAAAAACAAAAUUACUCAGGCUUUUAAACUCUCAUUUAUAUUUACACAAUGUUUCUUUCUUGCUGUGUUGGUCCAGCCUGUUCUUUUAAGCAUUAUUAUUAUUUAUCAUUUCUUGAGCACUCAGCACUGCAUGAGAUACAGAUAAGUUCCCUCCCUAGGAGACAACAAUCAAAGCCACACAAGCAAAACAUAAAGAUAAGCUGUUUAAGAAAUGAAAACCAAAUGAAAGAUUAAGAAGCACAUUGUGAAUUCCCUUUUUUUGUUUGUUUCAGCUUUAAGCCCAUGAUACAAAACAUGCUUCUUUUGGGGGUGUAAAACAAGACUGUAGUUGUUAAGAUAAAGCCACUGGCUUAGAAUAGAAAAUAUCCCAGAGAUCAUUGUAAGAAAACAUCCUACCUUAGAAAUCUUUUCACUUUCUGCUAUACAUAAAUUACUAGAAACUAUUCCUAGCUCUAGAGGACUGUAAUCACUAUGUAUGUGUGCACGUGUGUGUGUGAGAAAGAGGAAUAGAAGGAGAGAGAUUUAGGUCUGCCCAGCAGCCUUUUUUGUUCCCUUUCUUUUGAUAAUACCACACUGCUUCAGAGACUGCUUCUCCCAGUCCACAUAUUCCUGAUGGAACUGUCAAUCAUAGUCCAUUUCUUCCCUACCUUAUAAUGACAGAUGCAGGCCUGAAGCAGCACAAGGUGAUUUUUACAGGGCUCAUAAUGAAGGUCUUCUACAGGGUUCAUUAGGCCAAUUUGCAAAGAAAAGUAGUAAUAAAUGGAUAUAGCAUAAAUGCUGGCAGUUCUAAGCUCCAGAAUCAGGCCCUUGAAACUCCAGUUCCUACAGGUCUUUAUAUGAGCUGCUCUGCAAUACUUUUAAGCAACUAAACUUAAGUUCUUGCCUAGGGUGGUUUCAGUUGGGUUUCUUUUGUCAUUUGCACCUGACAAAAUCUUGGGAAGGUAAACAACAUACCCAAGGUUGAGCGGCUCCUAAAUGGCAGUCAUUCAAACCUAACUCUGUCCAUCUCUACACAACAGACUUUUCCUACUGUGCUAAUUUACUUUUUAAACCUACAGAUGUUUCAUUCCUAAAAUCUAGUUUUCUUCAAGAUUGGGAAUGGAAGGAAAAGAGGCUGCAGUGAAGUGGGGCAGUGUGGAAGGGGUCCGUCUAGUCCUCUGUCACUUUCUGGCAGUAGGAGAAAAGUGAAAGCCACAAAUACAGUAAAAUCUAAUAAAAAAUUAUAUUAAUCCACUUUGCAUAUGAGAAAGAUCCUAAGCUGGCAACUAUACAAACUUCUGCCUAAGAGCAAAUCAAAGCUGUAUAGUUCUAGGAAAGAAUGGUAUAGGUAUAGGGUGAUUUCUGCAUUAAAAUGUGGCACAUAUACACCAUGGAAUACUAUGCAGCCAUAAAAAGGAUGCGUUCAUGUUCUUUG